GCCUUCGUAGUGUAGUGGUCAAAACACUCGGCGCUUAGUCGAGAGGUCCGUGGUUCGAGUCCCGGCGAGGGCA
rfam:Stegodyphus mimosarum contig119183, whole genome shotgun sequence.